rnacentral:misc_RNA from 1 species
GGUUAUUUGUAUAAUCCAAAAGUUCUCUGCACAUUUUGUAGCUCUGAGGCUAGGGAGAAACUUGCCACAGUUGGGCAAGCUUCUUUCCUCUUAUAUUAUUUCCUUAGCCAGGUAGCAAUAGAAGAUAACAUGAUGUCCAAAGUUACGCUUAUGUUGUUGGAGAGAUUGAAGGAGUGUGCCACUGAAACAUGGCAAAAGGCACUAUCUAUGCAUCAACUUGGAUGUGUGUUGCUUGAAAGAAAGGAUUACAAAGAAGCUCAACAUUAUUUUGAGAUGGCAAUUGAGGCUGGCCAUGUUUAUUCAGUAGUAGGUGUUGCACGGACUAAAUUCAAGCAAGGGCAGAGGUUUUUGGCUUUUGAGCUAAUUAAUGGUAUUAUUUCAGAGUAUACACCUACGGGGUGGAUGUACCAAGAGAGGUCUUUGUACAGCUUAGGCAAACAAAAGAUUUUGGAUGUUAAUGAUGCCAGCAGAUUGGAUCCCGCCCUUCCUUUUCCGUACAAAUACAGAGCCAUUGUGAUGGUCGAAGAGGACCAGGUUGAGGCUGCUAUUGUGGAGAUAAAUCGAAUUAUUGGUUUUAAGGUCUCUCCAGACUGCCUUGAACUGCGGGCUUGGUGUUUUAUUGCACUUGAGGAUUAUCAAUCUGCUAUAAGAGAUAUCCGAGCAUUGUUGACUCUAGAGCCAAACUAUAUGAUGUUUCAUGGGAAAAUGAGGACUGACCACCUGGUUGAGCUUCUCAGUCUGCACGUCCAGCCGUGGAGCCCUGCAGAUUGCUGGAUGCAACUCUAUGAUCGAUGGUCAUCUGUUGAUGAUAUUGGUUCACUGGCUGUUAUACACCAGAUGCUCAUAAAUGAUCCUGGGAGGAGCAUUCUGCGAUUCAGACAAUCUCUGCUCCUAUUACGGUUAAAUUGUCAAAAAGCUGCAAUGCGCAGUUUGCGCCUGGCCUGGAAUCAUUCCACCUCCAAAUAUGAAAGGCUUGUGUACGAAGGAUGGAUUUUAUAUGACACUGGACAUCGUGAAGAAGCACUUGCCAAGGCUGAGGAAUCCAUUUCUCUCCAAAGGUCAUUCGAAGCCUUUUUCCUUAAAGCGUAUGCUCUAGCUGAUGCAACUCUGGAUUCUGAAUCUUCAUCUUAUGUCAUCCAACUGUUGGAGGAAGCACUAAAAUGUCCUUCAGAUGGUCUUCGCAAGGGACAAGCAUUAAAUAAUCUGGGGAGUAUUUACGUGGAUUGCAAUAAGCUGGACCUUGCUGCAGACUGCUAUGUCAGGGCCCUUGAGAUAAAACAUACAAGAGCUCAUCAAGGGUUAGCUCGUGUAUAUCAUCUAAAAGGUGAUCGGAAGUCUGCUUAUGAGGAAAUGACUAAGCUGAUAGACAAGGCUCAGAACAAGGCAUCAGCUUAUGAAAAACGGUCAGAGUAUUGUGAUCGUGACAUGGCAAAUGGUGAUCUCAGCAUGGCCUCACUAUUGGAUCCUUUAAGGACUUACCCUUAUAGAUACAGGGCUGCAGUACUCAUGGAUGACCAGAGGGAGACUGAAGCAGUGGAGGAGCUCACAAGAGCCAUUUCUUUCAAACCUGACUUGCAAAUGCUUAAUCUUCGAGCAGCAUUCCAUGAGUCAAUGACUGAUUUCUCUCGUGCUCUCCUAGAUAGUGAAGCAGCCCUCUGCUUGGAUCCCAAUCAUAAGGACACCUUAGAUCUCUAUAGUCGCACACGUCUGAAAAACACUUGAAGUAAAUUCAAGAAAAACAGCAACUGCUUCAGUAGAUAUAUGGCAUAACAUUGAUAACAGGGAAAUCAUUGAGGAAUGCAGAAAAC